UGGACGGUACAACGAGUCGCAAACUCGCGAGAGUAAGCUAAUCUCUUAAAGCCGUUCUCAGUUCGGACUGUAGGCUGCAACUCGCCUACACGAAGUCGGAAUCGCUAGUAAUCGCGGAUCAGCAUGCCGCGGUGAAUACGUUCCCGGGCCUUGUACACACCGCCCGUCAAGCCAUGGGAGCCGGGGGCGCCUGAAGUCCGGGACCGCGAGGACCGGCCUAGGGCGAAACUGGUAACUGGGGCUAAGUCGUAACAAGGUAAC
rnacentral:rRNA from 1 species